AGCGGGGGAGCGCACAAGAUUCCUUGCUCCAACCUCCUAGAUUUUCGCUGUUCGCUGACGAUGGUGAAGGUGGUCGUUGCUCGCCGGGGAGGGGAGGCCUCCACGUUAUUUUAAUAGAAAAAGGAGGCUCCACGUUGUCUCUCGCGGUAUAGAAAUUCUGAUAUUAAUUGAAGAAAAAUAAGAGAAAAAAAGAAAAAUCAAAAAAAAGAAAAAUUCAAUCGGACUAAUCAGGUUUAUAGAAAAAAAAAGAGAAAAGAUCCAUCGCGUGAUUUGAUCGGACAGAUUAGGUUUAUAAUCGCAUAAUAUACAUUCAUAUGGCAACCAAUUAGCUUCAAGCGCAUUAUAACAGGAAAAAUAUAAGAUAAGAAAAAGAUAAGAUGUAUACAUGUAUUAUUAUACGAUCGUGCGUGAGAAGGGGGCAAAAUUUAUCUACGAUCCAACGGAUUUGGUCGACAACGAUGAGGUGUACUAUCACGAGCUGAGCUGGACCAUACUUGUGGAGUCACAGAUUAGGAAAAAACAAAAAUUCAGAUAAAAAUUAAAAAGAUUAUUUUUAGGAGAAGAGUCC
rnacentral:lncRNA from 1 species